AAGUCGUAACAAGGUCUCCGUUGGUGAACCAGCGGAGGGAUCAUUACCGAGUUAUACAACUCAUCAACCCUGUGAACAUACCUAAAACGUUGCUUCGGCGGGAACAGACGGCCCUGUAACAACGGGCCGCCCCCGCCAGAGGACCCCUAACUCUGUUUUUAUAAUGUUUUUCUGAGUAAACAAGCAAAUAAAUUAAAACUUUCAACAACGGAUCUCUUGGCUCUGGCAUCGAUGAAGAACGCAGCGAAAUGCGAUAAGUAAUGUGAAUUGCAGAAUUCAGUGAAUCAUCGAAUCUUUGAACGCACAUUGCGCCCGCCAGUAUUCUGGCGGGCAUGCCUGUUCGAGCGUCAUUACAACCCUCAGGCCCCCGGGCCUGGCGUUGGGGAUCGGCGGAAGCCCCCUGUGGGCACACGCCGUCCCUCAAAUACAGUGGCGGUCCCGCCGCAGCUUCCAUUGCGUAGUAGCUAACACCUCGCAACUGGAGAGCGGCGCGGCCAUGCCGUAAAACACCCAACUUCUGAAUGUUGACCUCGAAUCAGGUAGGAAU
rnacentral:rRNA from 3 species